rnacentral:piRNA from 1 species
ACGGAACUCACAUGCGUGCGACGUUUGG